rnacentral:pre_miRNA from 1 species
GGGGGGAACACCGGAUCCUAGGCUGUGUCCCCCAGCACCUUGGGUUCCGGGGCCUGCACCACUGGAAUUGCGCUCCCGGGGCUGCGCAGCCCCCU